rnacentral:rRNA from 1 species
GAUGAACGCUAGCGGCGUGCCUAAUACAUGCAAGUCGAGCGAACAGACGAGGAGCUUGCUCCUCUGACGUUAGCGGCGGACGGGUGAGUAACACGUGGAUAACCUACCUAUAAGACUGGGAUAACUUCGGGAAACCGGAGCUAAUACCGGAUAAUAUAUUGAACCGCAUGGUUCAAUAGUGAAAGACGGUUUUGCUGUCACUUAUAGAUGGAUCCGCGCCGCAUUAGCUAGUUGGUAAGGUAACGGCUUACCAAGGCAACGAUGCGUAGCCGACCUGAGAGGGUGAUCGGACACACUGGAACUGAGACACGGUCCAGACUCCUACGGGAGGCAGCAGUAGGGAAUCUUCCGCAAUGGGCGAAAGCCUGACGGAGCAACGCCGCGUGAGUGAUGAAGGUCUUCGGAUCGUAAAACUCUGUUAUUAGGGAAGAACAAAUGUGUAAGUAACUAUGCACGUCUUGACGGUACCUAAUCAGAAAGCCACGGCUAACUACGUG